rnacentral:rRNA from 1 species
AGUGAACGCUGGCGGUAGGCCUAACACAUGCAAGUCGAACGGCAGCACAGUAAGAGCUUGCUCUUACGGGUGGCGAGUGGCGGACGGGUGAGGAAUACAUCGGACUCUACUUUUUCGUGGGGGAUAACGUAGGGAAACUUACGCUAAUACCGCAUACGACCUACGGGUGAAAGCAGGGGAUCUUCGGACCUUGCGCGAUUGAAUGAGCCGAUGUCGGAUUAGCUAGUUGGCGGGGUAAAGGCCCACCAAGGCGACGAUCCGUAGCUGGUCUGAGAGGAUGGUCAGCCACACUGGAACUGAGACACGGUCCAGACUCCUACGGGAGGCAGCAGUGGGGAAUAUUGGACAAUGGGCGCAAGCCUGAUCCAGCCAUACCGCGUGGGUGAAGAAGGCCUUCGGGUUGUAAAGCCCUUUUGUUGGGAAAGAAAAGCAGCAGGUUAAUACCCCGCUGUUCUGACGGUACCCAAAGAAUAAGCACCGGCUAACUUCGUG